AAUUGAUUUUAUUGAAUUUCCUUUAAUCUUUUUUUCAUUUUUUUCUCUUUCUUCUUUUCUCAUCUUCCCUAGUCAUCUCACCCACUCUCUUCUUCCUCUCAUAUUUUUCUUCUUCCUCCUCCUUAUGCUACCCAAACUCUAGGUUUUUGCUCAAGUGUGCCGACCUCUCCUCCUCUUUGUGUAGUGUUGUUUUGCUUCUUUUCCUCCUUUUCUCCUCUCCAUUUAUUGACGAUUUUUUGUUGCUGUUUUUGCAGUCAAUUUAUUGAUAUUUUUAGCCUCAAAAUCACUUUUUUCUGCCAAAAUUCCUCUUUUUUGCCAACCUAAUCAGCUCUCUUUUGUCGUCGCAUGUGGUGGUGUGCCGUCCUUUGAUCACCACUUUUGGAGCUACCACUUUUCCUUCUUUUGUUUCAUUGUUUGAUACCUUAUUCAAUCACUUAUUCCUUGUUUAGAACAACCCCAAAAUUUUUUAAUUGAAUGUUCAUUCAAUCUCUUUUAGGUCGUUGAUUCAAAUAUAGGAAACAGAAAGUGUACUAAUUUUAACGCCCGAGUUCAAUAGUGAAGUUAGAUCUUAUCCACUCUCAUUUUGGGUCAAAAUAGUGUAAGUUCACUUAUUGUUUCAAAUCUGGAAAUUUGGUGAUGUGGCACUGCGUUUGUUGAAUCCUUAGAGUUGUUUCAAGGCUAGAUUUUAUCGAUAAUUUAAUGUAUUAGGUUUUGUGUUUUUUGGAUUUAGGUUCGUUUAAGCCUUAAGUGCUGAUUUUUACUGGUUAGGACUACGAAUUGAAAAUUAAGGCGUAGGUCCUAACUUUAAAUAAUUGUUUGUAAUACAUUAAAAUAUAUGUUGAAUUGGUAAACAUUUCUUACUGGUCGGACAUGGCUGAGUCGUCAAAUAAGCGUAUUGAAUGGUGCCGAACAAGGUACGUUAUUUACAAUUGACCGAGUGAUGAGCCGUAUUAAAUUUGCAUGAAUGCAAAAUUGACAUGUCUGGUUAAUUGGUUGCAUGCUUGAUAUUGAUAUACUCUGUAAUGACAUGACAUGAUAUGGAUUAUUAUUAUUUAUUGAGUACUUGAAUAGCAUGCGACUCAUUGAGUUAUUGUUUGAUUGCAUAUUAAGUAUGUUUGAUUGUGAUGCCAUUGAAUUGAAUAUGUCACCGUAAGCAUGUAAAACAUGCCAUUGUACUGAAAUUGUAAUGACACAAAUGUCAGUGGUGUUGGAAAAAAAUAUUUUGAAACCCUAAUUUCGUAAACAAAA